CGUGAGGAAAACUUGCGAGGCAACAGCAGCAGCUGCUGCAGAAAAGCUAUUCGUGAAACAGUGUGCGAAGACAAAGGUGGAAAGGAUCUGGCAAAGCAGAAAGACGGGAGGAAAAAAAUACACAUAUUGCAGGAUUUUCCAAAUUUCUUAGAAGUGGAAGUGGCGAGGUUGAUUGAUUUUUUUUUCUGGUGGAGAAAAAUUAGCAAAUCUGACCGAAAACAUGUGCGGGGGCUUUAGUUGUUCCAAAAAUGCACUGAUUGCGCUGAACAUCCUCUAUGUCAUGGUUGGCUUCCUGCUGAUCGGGGUUGGUGUAUAUGGGCGCGCCUCUUCUAUCGUGACCAACCUCCCGAUCAUCGGUGGUAUCCUGGCAUGUGGCGUAAUUCUUAUCCUUAUCUCGGUUCUGGGAUUGAUUGGGGCUGUGAAACAUCACCAAGUGAUGCUGUUCUUCUAUAUGAUCAUAUUGUUUAUGCUGUUCCUGAUCCAGUUCUCGAUUGCUUGUUCCUGCCUGGCGGUGAACCAGGAACAGCAGAGAGAAUUUGCGGAGCAGGGCUGGUCGUUGGCCCCCGCGGAGAUCAAGCAGCAGGUACAGGAAGAGUUUAUUUGCUGUGGAUUCAAUUCGACAAUGACUGAGGAUCAUCCGUCUUGUGCGUCCGUAAAUACCAUGUGUUGCCAUGAUCGCGCUCCAGAGAACUGUCAGUGUCCUCCCUGCAUGCCCAAGCUGGAGAGCACCAUUGAUUACGCGUUCCAUCUGUCGGGAGGCAUUGGACUAUUUUUCAGCUUCACAGAGACAAUGGGUCGUGAUAAACGUUGGAGUCCCGAUGAAAGACGGCUGUUAAAAAUCUGCGAUGUGAAACUAAAACUUUUAAAGAAAUAGCAGAAACCGUCGGAUGCUCACAGAAAAUAGUUACAAGUGUCCAGAAAUAUCGGAAGAAAUCAGAAACACGAGGACAGAAAAGGAAAACUGGUUCUAGGAAUGACCGCCGAAUACUGAAAUUGGUGAAAAAAGAUCCUUUCCUUACAUCUACAGCCAUUAAAAAUAAUCUUGGACUGGAAGUGACAACCAGAACAAUCCAGAGCCGCUUGAUUGAUUGUAAAUAACGUGUUAGUGCUGCCGGAAAAACUCCUUUUGUAUUGAAAAGAAAUCAUAAAAAAGACUGGUAUUCGCUGACAUCAUCUGGAAAAUCUCAAACUACCUGCAGCCAGCUAUUUCAGAAAUGUGCUAUGGAGUGACGAAGCAAAAGUGAAUUUUUCUCUCCCCAAUACACGAAUAAGACCAUCAAGCAUGGCGGGAUGAAUUAUGAUCAUCGCUGUGUUCCUCACACGUCGCUACCGGAAUCAACAGGAUCCGGACCAUCUGCCGGCACGGGCGAUAUUUCCCCAGAGCAACUACGUGUACUGAGCGGAUCACGGUUCGGUCGAAUGUCAGGAAAAACCGUCAGGGAGAGUCAGACUGCUUCGGUUAUAAGAUGGGUGUGCGUAAACAGGUCUCAAAACCAAAAUUUCUUUUGUUUAUCACGCCGCCGCCGCCGUAUACUAUUGACCUGUUUGAACCCCAAAAAAAUUAUGUAUGAAAAAAGAAUGAAGAUAAUACUCAUUUUGUCGCUCCUCUAGGAUUAGGUUUUGUAAGGAAAGGUUGUGCUAACUCUAGAUCCGCCGAUUUUUUUUUUAUUUUAAGUAGACCAUUUUUAAAGAGAGGCAAAACUAAAUGCGCGAUCGUUUGUAUAUUUCAGCAGUUCAGAAGCUAAACCUAAUGAACUUAAUUAAUACUUUAAGUAGUCUGUUUAUUGCAACCAUGGUUGAACAAAGAUUCUCUCUAAUAAGUUUAUAUAGUGACUAUUGAAUAGAGUUCAAAUUCGAACAAUGAGUAGUCAAUAAUGGUUCGAUACUUUUAACAUCAUAUAUGUGUUGUUAUCCAUCAAGUGAUCUCCCAUACAUAAAGUGUGAAGUAAAUCUUCUCCUUUAGCACAUCUAUUGAGACGCACGUGGUUCACGUUAACGGUAUAUCCUUUACACAAUAUGUGUAUACGUAAAAUCUAUAAAUCCUUAAGUUAGCAGCUUUGGUUCGAAUAUCUCGAAACAUUUUUUUUAUUAUUUUGUGAUAUAAAACAUAGCUAUCAGGCCAGUUGCAGAAGAAUGUUUCCUCUUGCUUAAAGGCACCCAACCACAGAAUAUAGGUUCCGGGUGCGAUGCUCUUUGCUUCCACAGAGACGCACAGCCCUAUUCUGUAUUCCGACGGAUUUACAUUUCGUUCGAAACCGUUAUUUCGUUCGAGUUUUAAUUUCGCAUUCCCUAUUUCGAACGUUUUGCCCAUUCAAUGUUUGAAGAGAAACAGAUCGAACGAAAUGCAAAAACAACUCGAACGAAAUACAGAAUGGAAUUUUAUCAAGUCGUUCGAAAUAUUUCGACUCGAUCGAAAUGCAGAAUAGGGGUGGCAAACAAGUUGACGCAAUUUUGAAUGUAUGUAUUUUUGAAUCCAAUACACGAACACACGUAUUUAUUCAAGCACUUCACGAUAGUAUACAUUUAUAUAUACAUAUUUACGACAUAUUCGAGAAGCAGCACCAGGAGCAGCCGACCGCAGAUUAAAUAUCCUCGAAAUGGAAUUUUUGUUUCCCAUCCAAAUUUCACUGAGUUCGAUUCAUCGCGCAGAGAGUAUUCAACCAAUAUCAAUUGUGCAACAUGUAUUCUGUAUUUGGCUGACUGGUUGGGAAAUGUGUGCGCUGCUAAAAGAUCACGAAACUGUUAGUCAAAAGAAUGUGGAUUCUAGUGUGUAGAAAUAAAGGUGAAAUCAAGGUAUGUAAACUGUGAAACGUCAA